rnacentral:lncRNA from 1 species
GCAUAACAAUCCAAACCAGUAGAAUGAUAUUAGGAUCUAACACUUAAUUCUGCUAUGGAAUUACUAUUAUCAACAAAUAAUCAAUCAUAUGUAGCUUCAAAUUUGCAAACAUUUUCCAAUUACAAAACAAGAUGCGUUCAAAUCAGUCCAAAAUAGAACAGAAAUCCAACGAGUUCAUCAAUAAGUAUUUGUGAUUGUUACAUGAAAGUUUCAGUAACUUCCCAUUGAAUCAUGUAAUCACAUUUCAUUCCAAAAUCAUAUUUCAAUUCUAGGUAUCACAAAUGGACAUGGAAUUCACAUAAGUCUAACACCCAAACAUCAUACAAGACAAACUGAGCAACCAAAGAGCAAAAUGAUGACCCUCGACGGAAAAUAGCAAUAGAAUUAGGUAACGGGAACUCGACGGAAAAAAAGCAAAUGAACCAGGGAAUGGGAACUCGAUGAAUUCAAAUUCGAUCGAAACAAUCCUCGAAUCAGCAACCAAGAGCAGCAGAAUUGUUCUGUUCUGCCUUGUUUUGUCCGUGUGUGACUAUGUGCAUUUUUCAGUGACUAGAAGUUUAGAGUUAAAGAGUGGUCGUGUAUGAAGAAAACAUGGGUCAUUGGUUUGGGGCGAUGGCGAUGGCGGAAUUUCGAUGAACUUGGAUUAAAGAGGUGCUCGUGGGUGUUGGUUUCCAGGGUCAACGAAUAGAGCAGGGGUAUUUGGAGAAGACGACGUUAGGGGAAGUUCCGAAGGAGGUUUGUGUCGUUAGAGGAAGAAAAUCGCCAUUGCUUCUACUCUUGGAGUCCAGAAGAAAAAGCUCGGGGGGGGGGGGUGCGGCUCUCUCCUCGUUAGCUCCCCCUUUUUUCAGAUUUUCUAGCAUUAUUUUAUAGGUAGAUUCUAGGACUAGGGUUUAUUGGGGUUUUGGGCUUGGCUUGUGUGGAAAUUGGGUAAGGAAAUUGUGGUUUGGGCUGGUUUUGGCUUUAAAAAUGGACCACUUGCUUAAUUUAAAACCACAUUGCAAUUAAAUCCUCAUUCUCUUCUUUUUUUUUUCUUUGAUUAAUAAUCCUAAAUUAAUCUAUUUUGUAGAAAUCAAAACUCUUUAUUUAAUUUUUUUACAUUAAAACAACUAAUUAACUUAAAACUAAAGAAAAAAUGCUAAUUUU